rnacentral:rRNA from 1 species
UACGAGUGGUCCAAGCGUUAAUCGGAAUCACUGGGCUUAAAGGGUGCGCAGGCGGGGUGGCAGGCAUCUUGUGAAAUCCCACAGCUCAACUGUGGCAUUGCAGGAUGAACCGCCAUCCUUGAGGAAGGUAGGGGUCAGCGGAACUAUGGGUGGAGCGGUGAAAUGCGUUGAUAUCCAUGGGAACGCCGAUGGCGAAGGCAGCUGACUGGGCCUUUCCUGACGCUCAGGCACGAAAGCGUGGGUAGCAAACGGG